rnacentral:lncRNA from 1 species
UUUCCUGUCCUUUCAUUCAACUUUCAGUCCUGCCCAACAAGUUAUAAGUCAGCUUCAGGAAAGCAUUGACUUUGAUUUGACGCCAGCAUUCCCUUGUGCACUGCGAGACAGUGGACAAGCAUUACACAUGAUCUUGCCUUCAGGGUUGCAAUUCAGCCCUGUAGUAGUGUCUGGCAGGGCUGUAUUAUAAGUCCUUAUCAUGUUUAUUUCACUUUUCAUUCGCAUUCCCUCCAGUCGUUUGAUUUUUAGCCUCAGGGCAGAUUCAGCUAUAUAUCCAAAGAUGCAACUUUACAUUGAAUUAAUGUGUAUUUAUUUGCUAUUUAAGAAGUUAACAAAAAAGGAAUAGGUGUCACUAUUUUGCUUAUGGUGGGAAUUUGACAACACACUCAACCAAGUACAACAUGCACCUAGAAUCUUAACUAGUUUCAUUGCACCAUCGACACGGUUAUUUCGACAGCCCUGCUCUCCAGCAUCUGGCAUAAUUGGAAGCAGCAGCCAGCAGGUAUCAAAUGUCAGUAUGAAUUGUCUCCUGCUGCAGGGAUUAAGAAUAUUCAUAUGUACUGGAGAGAAACUAGCAAACUGGAUUGGUCUCUGGUUAUCUUUGGUUACAUUGGAAUCUUCAGCCAUCAAGGAAUCCUAAGAAAGAAAAGCAAAACUAAUAUGUAACCCAUCCUUCCAUUGCCACACAAAGAACAGAGCUGAUAGGCAGAAGAGAGUGGUACCGAUUAGAUCUGCAGCAGUGAUUCACAGCCUGGGAUUAUAGUUUCUGCAAUUUGCUUGAGUUUGUACAACCCAAAUAUCAGAUAACAUUAAGGUUUACAUUUUCCAUGGAACGGUGUCUCAAGAAUGUAUUGAUUCCUGCAGCAUCAGAUUACUCCAGAGCUUGAGAAGACCAAAAGGAGAAUUAUACAUUUUUUCCUGCUGACCUUCGAAAAACAAGAUUGUAUAACCACAUAUAUAGCUCUGUGUGACCUUGAAGGGCAUGAAUCUGAAAGUUGCUCACGAUUUACCACAGCUUUUCUUUAAACAAUUAAAA